rnacentral:lncRNA from 1 species
AAGAGCGGAUGCAGGCUGUUGAUGUUUUUCAUUCAAAGCUCGCAAUGCACCGUUCUGAAAACUCUCCAGCGUAGAAUUCAGGAACCCUGAGUUUUCUAUCUCUGUCUAGUUCUGGACUGAAUGGGCUCAAGUCAUCUAGUUAACCUCUCUGGAUUUCAGUCUUCUGAAAAGUGAAGCUAAGAGAUCUAGCAUUCUGCAGAAAAGUACUGGAGAUGACUCAGGACUGAAAAUGAUCAUGAAGCCCCUUUGCAAAUAUCAAAGUGGUGAUGAAGCAGUCAUGAACUUUGACCAGAAGCCGUGUUUUGUGGGAUUGCCACUUUAAUCGCUCCUGUUCAUCAUUAGGACUGCAGCCAGAGUGUGGAAGGAGUGACAGCACAGAGGAAGAGAUGGUCCAAGACCAAAGAGGAAAGAAAUGGCAUAAGAUGGGACAGUGUUCUAUGAUCUCUAACUGGCCAAAGAAAAAUGAGAAACAAAUUUAAAAGAAGACAGUUGGAUGACUUAAACACCACCCCUGAGAGGCAGCUGUUUCCAGAAUAUUGCACAAUUUAUUGAGUUCAUGAGAAUCGUGAUCGUUGGCAGCACCGAACUUCACGGAGGGAAUCAUAGGCACUUUAAUUCCAAUUUGUUGACUUAUGGAGGAAGAAAUUUCUCCCAGUGGUGUCCCUUCAUCCAGGAACAAGAGCCAUCAAAGUGUCACAGACUUAGAGCCGGAAGGGCUCUCCGCUAGUGUUUCUGCCAGUCCUCUUGGUUUUACACAUGAGGAAACUGAGGCCCAGAGAAGUUACCCAGUAGCAGAUCUGCAAGUCACCCAGUAGCAGAUCUGCAAGGAGCUCUUAGCAAUCCUGACUCCAAGUGUAAUGCUCUUGCAUUAGCUCUGUGCUGCCUCCUAGAUGUUGGUCUUCUUAAUGUUGAUAGCACAUUUGCUCAAAUGUUUGCUAAUAUGGUUUGGCUGUGUCCUCACCCAAAUCUCAUCUUGAAUUGUAGUUCCCAUAAUCCCCACUUGUCGUGGCAG